rnacentral:rRNA from 1 species
GAUGAACGCUAGCUACAGGCUUAACACAUGCAAGUCGAGGGGAAACGAUAUUGGAAGCUUGCUUCUGAUAGGCGUCGACCGGCGCACGGGUGAGUAACGCGUAUCCAACCUGCCCAUCACUUGGGGAUAACCUUGCGAAAGUAAGACUAAUACCCAAUGACGUCUCUAGAAGACAUCUGAAAGAGAUUAAAGAUUUAUCGGUGAUGGAUGGGGAUGCGUCUGAUUAGCUUGUUGGCGGGGUAACGGCCCACCAAGGCGACGAUCAGUAGGGGUUCUGAGAGGAAGGUCCCCCCACAUUGGAACUGAGACACGGUCCAAACUCCUACGGGAGGCAGCAGUGAGGAAUAUUGGUCAAUGGGCAGAGCCUGAACCAGCCAAGUAGCGUGAAGGAUGAAGGUCCUACGGAUUUGGUAAAACUUCUUUUAUACGGGAAUAAAGUAUCCUACGUGUAGGAUUUUUGAUGUACCGUAUGAAUAGCAUCGGCUAACUCCGUAGCCAGCAGCCG